GAGGAAAUAGGCAAAGUAAGAGCAACGUAAGAAUAAGGGUUUGGGAGGAAAUCACCGUAGACAAAAUUUAGAGUUGGUGCUGAAAAUUUAAGAUAAUCAAUAGUAGAGUUUUGCUGUUGUGAGUGGAAGAUAGUUUCUUGGAGCUUACUUUCAUUUACUAUAUCGUUUAUCAUUUUUAGUUGGUUAAAUACUCUAAUUUGUAACAUCGGGAACGAGACGUUUUAUUUUAUUUUGUUGUUGAGUUAAUCAUUGGAUGAUGAUAUUUUGAUUUAGCCUUUAUAGUUGUUGAGAUAUUUGAAGUUAUGAACAUUAAUUUGAAAUUUCGUUGCGAGUA